CCCUUUGAUGUUCUGGGCCGCACGCGCGCUACACUGAUGCAUUCAACAAGCCUAGCCUUGACCGAGAGGUCCGGGUAAUCUUUGAAACUGCAUCGUGAUGGGGCUAGAUUAUUGCAAUUAUUAAUCUUCAACGAGGAAUGCCUAGUAAGCGUGAUUCAUCAAAUCGCGUUGAUUACGUCCCUGCCCUUUGUACACACCGCCCGUCGCUCCUACCGAUUGAAUGUGUUGGUGAGGAGCUCGGAUUGGCAGCAGUUGGUGGUUCGCCACCGGCUAUUGCUGAGAAGUCCUCCAAACCGCCCCAUUUAGAGGAAGGAGAAGUCGUAACA
rnacentral:rRNA from 1 species